UACGUAGGGUGCAAGCGUUGUCCGGAAUUAUUGGGCGUAAAGAGCUCGUAGGCGGUUUGUCGCGUCUGCUGUGAAAACUCGGGGCUUAACCCCGGGCCUGCAGUGGGUACGGGCAGACUAGAGUGCGGUAGGGGAGACUGGAAUUCCUGGUGUAGCGGUGAAAUGCGCAGAUAUCAGGAGGAACACCGGUGGCGAAGGCGGGUCUCUGGGCCGUAACUGACGCUGAGACGCGAAAGCGUGGGGAGCGAACAGG
rnacentral:rRNA from 1 species